rnacentral:lncRNA from 1 species
AAUCAUGUGAAUGACUGUGGUUAUCCAGGGAGCAUGUGGAGUGAGAAAACCAGCGGAUGGAGGACAGAACCCUGUGAAACGACAGCCUUUACAGAGCAGAUGGAGGAAGAUGAGCCCACGAAGGGGCCAGAGAGAAAUCAUCCAAGCAGACACAUGAGCAGAACCCAGGAUGGAAGAAUGUAAUCACCAGCGUGACUCCAGUGAUGGAGAUGAACUAGAUGUGGAGACUGGGGAGCAGCAGAGUCAACUCAGUUAUCAUCUUGGCGGCCGGGCUGCCGUCCAGCUCACAGAAGCCACCUGAUCCGGAAAAGAUUUCCAACGCCUGCUGGAAGUAGCCCUCCCAGUCAGGAGAGCAAAGUCACAUUCCAUCUGGGGACAUCUGAGAGGAGAUGCAGAAGCUAGUAGCUGAUUUUCCUCCCCU